rnacentral:rRNA from 1 species
GACGAACGCUGGCGGCGUGGAUUAGGCAUGCAAGUCGAACGGUAUCAUCCUUUCGGGGAUGAGAGAGUGGCGAACGGGUGAGUAACACGUAGGUGAUCUACCCUCAAGACGGGGACAACCCAGGGAAACUUGGGCUAAUACCGGAUGUGAGCUAUCGUGAGAUAGUUUGAAAGGUGGCUUCGGCUGCCGCUUGAGGAUGAGCCUGCGUCCUAUUAGUUAGUUGGUGAGGUAACGGCUCACCUAGGCAAUGAUAGGUAGGCGGCCUUAACGGGUGGUCGCCCACACUGGGAUUGAGAUACGGCCCAGACUCCUACGGGAGGCAGCAGUCGAGAAUAGUCUACAAUGGUCGGAAGACUGAUAGUGCGACGCCGCGUGAACGAUGAAUCCCUUCGGGGUGUAAAGUUCUUUUAUAUGUGAGCAGUGCUUCUUAUAUUAACAGUAUGGGGAGAGAGAUAUUAGCAUAUGAAUAAGCAACGGCUAACUCCGUGCC